AAAGAAUCCGUGUGCACAUCUUCAACUCUGGGAAGUUUUCUCUGACUAGUUCUCCUUGCAUUUCAUUUCACUCCCUAGUCAGUCAUAUAGUCGUGCUAACCUUUGACUUUGGCCCCAUUUCAAAGGCUUUGCUCUUUGCCCCAGGUCCAUUAGACCUGACUAAAGUAUACUUUAAUAAUUGCCAUGGCUGCCAUCAAAUGAACAUAUGAGGGGAUGGGUUGGAUGGGAAAAAGAGCAUGUCCAGUAACCUUUUGGCCCCUUGGUCAGCUCUUAUAGCAAAUGCAUCCACUGAGACAAUCAAUUUGACCUGCAGCUCUAUACAGUACGAGUCUGAACAUCAGGGUUAUUGAUAGAGCCUGGCAAUUUUUUAUAGCUCCCUCCCAACCUUUGACAUUCGGCAGUACAAAGUGGCUGCUAUCAACCACUACCAAACAGCAGAUCAGCUGGUUAUGUCAAGGUUGCAUUUGAAUGAACAUAAAGAUUGAUGUUUGUGUGUACAUAAGCAUGAGGCAAGGUUUUUUUUUUAUAUCUAAUUUGCAAAAGAAUCUAAUAAAUGCAAAUUUCUAUGAAUUUAAACAAAUCAAGCUUCUCUGACAAGCUACAAACAAUUGAGUUUAGCGCUAGGGGCAGUUGAGAUAUAUAUAGUAAGAAAUCCAAGUGCAUCACUCUAACUCUUAAUAUUUCUUAUUUAAAAAAAAAAAAUGAAACCAAUUUACAGUGUACAGAUUGUCCCUAUAUAACUAUUCUCCAUAUAUAGUGUUUGUAAAAUACUGUAUAUUCCAGCAAACUAAAUAUGAAUACCGUGUAUGUGAAUAAUAAUGCAGAAAAUUCAUAGCCUUUAGCAAGUUGUCUCUGUUUAUUUGAAACAUUGUCAUCCACAAAAAAAUAUUGUGUAAGAAGUGAACAUCAUUUUAUGGAUGGUGUAUGCAUCUCAUCUCUCUUUAGCAGUGACAAAGCAGCUGAUACAUCAAAGCCUUCAGCCGCUCUCAUGAAACAGUUUUUCUCAGCGCACCAACAAUGUACAUAACAAAACAUGACAAAAUGAUUUUUUCCCCCUCACCUUGCUUGUUUUUCUUGGAUCCCAUUCUAUUUCGUGUAACAUUUUCACAUUUAGAAUUGCUUUUCUAGUUUCCAACAUUGCAGCUAUUCACCUAUUCCUUGAAUGUGAAUUGCAGUCAAACUAUUUCAGCAUUCGAGGCUAGGAAGAGAAGGAGGAAAGGAAAAAGUAAACCCCUUGCCUGGCUGCCCCUCCCCUUAACAAUACUAGCUUUUUCAUAACAGAGACUUGGGCUGCAGCUCAAGCACUGUGAUUAAGAUAAGCCGACCAGAGCUGGACAAUUACCUGACGACUAACCUUUUCUGGAGCCACUUAAGGAUGUAAGAACCCCUGAGAACCAUUGUUUUCCCUGAGUGGAACACGGCACUUGACAGCAGCAGCCUGGUGAGAGAGAAGCCAGCGGCUAGCAAUAUCAUGUUUGAGAUUACCUAAUCCUCAAACAGCAUCAGAGCAGAAGGUCCAUCAGAGGGAAAUAGAGAUCGCUGGAUUGAAGGAAGAAUUGACUUGGGCUUUGUUUUCAUAUAUUUGUCCUGGAGGGUUUUUUUUCUUUGAACAAAUGCAGUGUUUACAAAGUUUGGCAUGUAAUUUACAAUACGUUUUGUAAAUAUCUACAAUAAUUAGCAUGCUAAAUGUGUGCUAAAUAUUUUUUUUUCUCGAAAAUGUAUUGCAAAUAUAGUGUAAGAUCAAGGACCCCUUUAACUGUAAAAUAUAUCCCAUGAACGCAAUCCAACAAUUCAAAUAUUAGCCUCAUUAUUUUAACGUUUACAACAAUAUUCUGUUUUUCUUGGAGCUAUACAGCUUUUUAUUCCUGAACUUUCCACCGUCAGAAUAUAGUAAGCCUAAAUCGUAAUUAUUUAUAGGUUUAAGUGUGUAGAUUAAAUCUAUUCAAUUCAAAAGACCAGUUACAUUGGAUAAUAACUACAAUAUAACUAUUAAUAACUGCAAUAACUAUAAGAACUCAGUAAUAUAACAGUAAUAUAAUGAUAAAGGUGGGUUGUGAUUGCACUAACCUUUACAUAACGGAUCAGUUUAGUUCAACUUUUGUUGAUGUUGUUUCCAUGUAUUAUUUAGAAUUUACUUUCCUGUCAUUAUUUUCAAAUGUGAAAGAUUACAAGAAAUAAUGUAAGAUUUGUAAUGUUACUUGGAGUCAACCGUCAUGUGUGUGUGUGUGUGUGUGUGUGUGUGUGUGUGUAUGUGUGUGUGUGUGUGUUUCCAGGUCCCCGAGGGAGCACAUGGGGAGCCCUGGCUAGAGCACUACAAACCCUCUGAACCUCUGCCCAGGUCUGCCACACAGCAACCACAUCCUUCCAGGCAGUCCACUCAUACUUAGACCUCCAUUCAGAGGGAUUCUUGCCAUAUGAUCCUUUUAUUUCUCUUAUAUGUUUACAGAGACUGAAAUAGCUAAUAUCAGUAGUUACAGUGAAUGUAGUUUAAUAAAUGUUUAAACUACGGUUAAAGACAGAGUAGCUGCUUGCCUGAGUCAUCAUAAGAAGGAAAACCAGGAUUAACCUGAAAAGUCAGACAGACGAUCGUUACCAAUCUAUCCCGAGUUGAAAAUUGUAAGUAUUCCAGACUUAUGGCUUUGUUCAAACAUAGCCCAAGCCUCCUCAUGAGGUUCAUGCCCGUUGUGAGGCCUUCAGAAUCGAGCGCCUCUCCACUUCUGCUCGUGACAUGAAGUCAGGGGUUAUUUGCUGCUAUUUUUACAAGAAACGGGUUGAUUUGUCUUAGGCCAUUACCGUCUAUUACGACUGGGAGUCUCUGGGAAGGAGGUGGGAAGCGGCAAACGCUGGCUUUCUGCCUAAAGAGAAAUCAAUGAAACAAAUUAAUCCUUCGCAGGCUGCGGUGACACUGUAAUCCAUCAUUCAGAGGCGCUUUUACACACCGAAUCAGAGAGUCUGGGCUCAGGGAGAAAGCCCCGAGGGACAGGGCUCGCACAACACACUCUGGCACAACACACACACACACACACACACACACACACACACACAGACUUACAAGGCAAGAUCCACACAAGGCUAGACACACAGUAAAGGCAGCUGCCACACAGCUGCAACCCCAUAGUCCUGUGUGUGAACACAGAGGGAUGAAAGACAGAUUAUAAAUACAGCUACUGCAUGAUACAGGACAUAAUCCUGUAUCCAGUAAGUCUUGUGUCUACUGGGCUGUGUCCUCAUAAAGGCAGGACAUUGGGAUUUGCUGUUUACUUAUUCACACUGUACAAAAAACAGGUAUGACAGAAAAGAUUUAUAGGAAGGUCCACCAAAGAGGAGGGGACUACAGGAGGGGAGAGAGAAAGAGAGAGGGGAAUCACAGUGGGGGUGGGCAUUGAAAACAGCGAUCUCUUUUCCACCCACCAUCACCUCACCAUGUGGUGUUGCAUUGUUCAUGUGGCAGCACAUUCACGCACAUUGUUCCAAUGCUCAGACCCUCUGUUGCAUGCGAGCAUUCCCAUGGCUUCUCCUGCAGCCUGCUGAAAAGGGCAGGUGUCAUCACCCACAAAAUUAGGGCUGCGGUCCCCUCAUCAGCACGAAUGGUUAAAAGCUUAGCUAUGCUCCUAUACAAAGGUUAUGCCCAUAGACACCCCACCCCAUGCCAUAAAAAAUCCAGUAAUACAUGCCACAUUGUUGCCAGCCAAUAAGAAAUUCAUAACUACACACAUGAUCCUGCCACGUGAUCCGCAAAGGGAAGCAUCUUGGUCCUUUGAGAGCUGUACACAAUAAUGCCCUCGAUAAACCAUGUGAUAUCAGACAAAGGGAGAGAAAAAAAAGGAAACGACAAGAUGUACAUGCUAGUGGUCAGUUUAUUUCAUUCGAAUACAUGAUGUUUCCUUCAGUAGUGUUCUGUACAAAUACACUAAAGGCUCAGUCACAGUAACAUUUUUUUUUUUUUUUUUUUUUUUAAGAGAUUAACAGUAAAUACACUGUAUAUUUGCUUUCGUGCCAGUCGUAUCUCAGGUGUAUGAGGCGUUCACCUGCGCUCUCAAAAAUUGUAACAGACAUGCCCAAAGCAAGGAAAGGUUGUUAACUUAUAAAUAAGUAAUGCACAACCAGGGGACAGACUGUACCAUUAAUUUCCUUGUCAUCCUAAUAGGGGGUGCCACUUACCUUUAACCAUGCUCUAAUAGAUGAAGAAGCAUAGCUUUUGUUCAUGCUGGCACGGCUGAGUCACAAAUACCUAGAAGGAAAAGUCCAGGACACAACGAGGGACCGAGUGGUAUCAUAUUCGUUCUCUGUGCUCUGUCAGACAUGACAUUAGCAUCAAAUGAUAAUAGUGAACAUUAAGUAAGCCAAUUAUCAUUUUGUAAUAUGAGGAGAUAUUUAGCAGCCACAUACUGUGCAGUCAUGAUUAGGAUAAUAAAAGAUGUGGCUGAAUUAAUUUAUCUUUAUUCUUACUUACUUUCUUUACCCUUUUUUUUUUUUUAAUUUGGGCUUUUACUGUUUUGCUAUCUCUUUCUUAUUUCCAUCUCCGUUAUGUUUGUUGACUUUUUUAUUUAGCCUUUGUGUUUUAUAAAAACAAAUUAUAAUAACUUGUUAUAAUAAAUUAUAAUAAAGUGUGUUUACUUACUUGGAAACUAUACAGAAAAAACAUUUACUGGUCAGUUAUGUACAUACUGUCACAAUCAGAAAGAAAAUCUCAUUGGCAAUCCAGCACAAAUGAAUUUAUCUUCCCCUGUUACACACGAGAGAGACCUGAUGUCAGCAUACACUUGUGCCAACAUGCACUUGUGUUCUUUCUAGAUAUACAUUUAUACAAAUGUACUACUGCAUUCCAGUUGGAACAGUAUAUACAUGCUCAGUAUUUACAUUAUAGUUGUUUAUGUAGUUUAUAUAUCUCUACACAGGUAUUCAAGACACUUAAUAUACAGUACAUUUCCCAAAACAAUGCAGUUGUUAUGCAGGAAGUCCAGGAAGAACACAGCUGUGAAUACAUUUUGUGCUUUUUUAUUAUUAUUUCACAUGAAAUUAAGGCUGUAAUGCAUGUUUCGGACGGGAAUAUUAUAAAGCUAGCCUAGAGGAAUGUGUGUGUUUGGGACUGCUGCAUUCUUUCCUGCUCAGAUCUGAUAGAGCUGAUAGAGAGAGGUGAAAGAGGACACACACAUUGUACAGUGUGAGAGAAGGACAGAGCAUAAACAGAGAUGUAGGCAUAGCACUUCCUGUGUUUGUUUUUCAGUUAGUGUUCCUGUACUGAUUCUUAAUAUGGUUCUUCUGUAUAGCCAAGGCUUCUCAGCUUCCAAAAGGUUUUAGUUCGGAUAAGAAAAGAGUUUCAAGCCGAUCCAAAAGAGUUUCAGUUUAAUGGUUCCCUCGGAGGACAGGACUCUUCAAGGUCCUAUAUUUUACCUUUGAACAUAUGUGAACUCUGUUGCCGUCUGCCAUUUUAACAUGAACAUUUUCAAUCCACUCUGAGCCCCAAUUUUAUGACCUAAGCAUAUAUACUGCUGGAAGAAUGUCAGAGAUGGCAGACAGAUAAAACAGACAAUUUAGCAAGCACAAGUAGAGCUUUUUACGAAGCAGUGACUCACAAAAAAAAUAAUAAUUACAAUCAUUCCCAUUCAAACAUAUUUAUUGGAUGUCUUAGCAAGCAUUCUUCAGUUCAUGUUAUCAUUAUAAACAAUACAAUCAUAGCCGCUGAUUAUGUUGAUGAGGUCAGUGCAUUUUCGUAACAAACAGACAGCAACUAACAGAGCUGUCAUUAUGUGACAUGUGACCACAGCUUUCCAUAUCCGUGCUGAAGAACAUGCUGAAAUGAGAGGCAGGGAAAAGAACGUAUGGGUGGACACACAUGCUUUCAUGAACAAAUUCCAUCAUCUGCCUGCCAGAUGCGAAGAAUGACAGAAAGUGUGUCCAAAAGCCCACACUUAGUCAGUCGCUUUGUCAAAAGAUGACAUUUCAGCAUCGCAGUAAUGACGAGGGACGAUUUCACUCAAAUACUGACAAGACGGACAAAGAUGGAAAACUGACAUUCUCAACUGCCCCUCUCAAUCUGUAGACAUUCACUGGGUAAGACCAAUGCAAAAGCAUCAAGACAGUCCUACUUGACAAGACUAGGCAUGGUUGUUUGUUUUUUUUUUUCAUCCCUGCAGUAACAUUAUGGUGUUAUAUAUAAACUCUAAUACAAUUCGAAUAAACAACAUAUACAGACAGAAAUGUUAUACAGCAGACGAUAUUUUUAUGUAAUUCGAUUACGCUCUUCUAUAUAAGUCACCAGGUGAAAAUUAGUGCUCGCAUUGUAGAAAUGGAUGAGAAAUAUGGAUGAGCCGCCCCAGGGGCAAAAAAAAUCUCCUAUACCGCAUAAACAGUGGUAUUAUGUUGCUGAUAUUAUUAUGAUAUUAUUGCGCUGUGUGUGGGCAUGUGUGUAUAGACAUACCUGCAGCUGCUCAAGUUUCACUGUUAGCCAAACCUGUCAGGAAAUCAGAACAACUUAUUAACACGCAUAAAUAGUUAUGUGUGCUAUUCAUCACACAUACACACACAUCGACACACACACACACACGCAAUCACACACAUUAAUUUUGUUUUAAAGCAAUAAUAUUUAAUCAAAUCAAGCAUGUUAUAUAUAUAUAUAUAUAAAUAUAUGGAAUGAAGCAUGCACAUAUUUACAAUACAAAAUUCAUUUAUAACAUGCAUCAUAUGUUAAGUAUUGCUUUUAGAUUUAAAAAUAAAUAAAUAAAGUACAAUUUCCAUAAACCAGCUACUUUAGAUUAUUUUCAUGCUGUUAUUGAUGUCGGGUUAUAAUACAAGCCCUCGUUUUCCAGGUCCUUCACAGGUACGGUAGCCACAUUAUAUAACUGAGGGCACCUGAUUCCACCAUGCAUCAUAUAAGGACACAGCAAAUCAUUUUCCUAGUUCUUCUCUGCUACACCGGGUUUAAGAACAGAGGAACAAAACAUUUUCUACCCUCGUGCAUUUGCCAGCGUCUCAGUGCACUACCACAGACACACAUACAGUGUUAGCCCAAAAUCCCCAACACUGCUCCAUCUCCAGAAAUGAAGGCUGGCUCAGGCAGACCAAAUUCCAAAUAAGUGCCUGCUGAGUGUUGGUUUAAGUCCACCAUUACGGAGAGGUGCUCUGUGUCACCAGAGAGAGUGCGUGUCUCCAGCUAAAUCCUCUCUUACAGCUUUUUAAAGUGAUCAAUACAGUAUAAUAUAUGCACCGUCCAGAUCAGGCGCUGCUCAGUGACUUCCAACACUUUUACCUAUGCUCUGUAAUUUCCUGAAUUUAUUUGCUUGGUACAUUCCAUGAAAUGCCAAAGCAUGGAUAGGUUUCAGACUAAUAGCCUAUUUUUUGUUAAAUUCAUCGCUUUAUCCAAUACAACGAGAUGUGUACAUUAUUGUCGCUUAUUAUAGAAAUAAUGAAUGCCGUUUCCUUUAAAUGAGCAUGCUAUUUUAUAUGUGUGUGUGUGUGUGUGUGUGUGUGUGUGUGUGUGUGUGUGUGUGUGUCAAAUUUAAUUGAUAAACCUAUUUAAAGUCCAAUCAAAGCAUUCGCUCUUUGCUAUCCCUUGGCGAACUUCACGCGUCCUGUCCAUGUCUCAAAGUUUUAUCUCCAAACCCAAACAAGUUCCAUGUUCACAUUGCGCAGUCUGGUGCACACGUGUCCUUGGUUUUGUUUCCUUUUUUUUUUAAGUGAACCUCAGAGGUGUAACAUAGCCUAAUUUGUUGUGGGUCCAGACUUGUUUUUAACUCUGAGCGAUUUUCUAUGAUCUCGGUCUCUGAGUGCGUCCAACGCAAUUAGCACAUGUGCUCUAAAUAGAUGACGGUUUGUGCGCAAUAAAGCCAUUACUUCCAGCACAAAACUGACAGGCGAUCUCACCAGGCGAUCCUGCCACAAGAUACUUUCAUAAAUACAUAAAUAAAUAAAUCAUCUUUCACUUCCAGCUUGCGUUUUGGACGUCUGAAGAUAUUUAUCAAGUUUACACUUAUAGCAUUUAGCAUACGCCCUUCUCCAGAGUGAUUAGAAGAAGUGAUUCGCAGUCUCAGAAGAAGAAAAAAGAUAUGUCCUUCUCAUGCUAGUACAAAUAGGUCUGGGUUUUAAGAAUAGCAUUAAGCUAGUUAGUACAACAAGAAGUUAGUACAGAAACAAUGGAGGGUGCAAAGCGCCACUAUUCUAGUAUGAAAGCAAUAUAUAGCUAUGUAUGGCCGCUGUAUACAGAUUGCAACACAGUAGCUAUACAGCUAUACACAGCCUACUACAUUAUAUAAAAGUCUUGUCUUAGAGUAAGGAUCUGCAAAAAAAAAAAAUUGUAAUAAUAAUUUUGCCCGGGUUAGUUUUUUGUUUAUCUGUUUAUUUUCUAUAUUUUUUCAUGAUGUAAAAAAAAGUACGGUAUUUAUAUAUAAUUUAUUAUUUAUUUAUUUAUUGUAAAUGGCUUGUAUUAAUAAUGAGCCCUUACUCGCACUUGCAUUAUUCUGAGCACAGGCCCUGCAUUUACCAUAAAGAUGUUAUCACUGAAUAAUUUCACAAAUUGAUUCUUCUUGCUUAGGGCUGAACUAAUUGACCGUUCAACUUGCAAUGAUUGAGGGCUACCAUUUG
ensembl:lncRNA